rnacentral:rRNA from 1 species
GACGAACGCUGGCGGCGUGCUUAACACAUGCAAGUCGAACGGUGAAGGGAUCAGCUUGCUGGUUCUGGAUGAGUGGCGCACGGGUGAGUAACACGUGAGUAACCUGCCCCCUUCUUCUGGAUAACCGCAUGAAAGUGUGGCUAAUACGGGAUAUUCUGCGCCUGCUGCAUGGUGGGUGUGGGAAAGAUAUUGUUUCGGUGGGGGAUGGGCUCGCGGCCUAUCAGCUUGUUGGUGGGGUGAUGGCCUACCAAGGCGGUGACGGGUAGCCGGCCUGAGAGGGUGGACGGUCACACUGGGACUGAGACACGGCCCAGACUCCUACGGGAGGCAGCAGUGGGGAAUAUUGCACAAUGGGCGCAAGCCUGAUGCAGCGACGCCGCGUGAGGGAGGGAGGCCUUCGGGGUGUGAACCUCUUUCGCCAGUGAAGCAGGCCUGUCCCUUGUGGGUGGGUUGACGGUAGCUGGAGAAGAAGCGCCGGCUAACUACGUG